CAGCAGGGCUGUUCCAUCCUUUGUGAAAUUUUGGCAGUUGGAAUACCUCUGAGAAGGUGGCACAGAAAUGAGGAGGAAAAUACAUGGAACCUGAUUCAGGCGUCAAACACAGUGAUCACAGAAAUAAACAUGAAGUGUUCACCUGGCCAGGAAGACAAGGGAGAUCUUCUCCGAGGAAGUAACAGUAGAGUUAAAAUUUAAA
rnacentral:lncRNA from 1 species